rnacentral:rRNA from 1 species
UACGUAGGGGCUAGCGUUGUCCGGAAUCAUUGGCGUAAAGAGCGUGUAGGCGGUCUGUCGCGUCAGGAGUGAAAACUCGGGGCUUAACCCCGAGCCUGCUUCUGAUACCGGGCAGACUAGAGGUUAGCAGGGAGAACGGAAUUCCUGGUGUAGGCGGUGAAUGCGCAGAUAUCAGGAGGAACACCGGUGGCGAAGGCGGUUCUCUGGGCAUGAUCUGACGCUGAGGAGCGAAAGUGUGGGGAGCGAACAGG